UUUAUUAUAAUUUUUUUAAUUAAGUUAAGUAUUUGUUAUAAAAAAUUAUUUAUUAUUAUAUUAUCGAAGUGCGUAUCACAUAGCUAACUUAAAACACGGAUGAAACCUGGGACCAGUUUCGCAAUAUUAAGCAAGCGACGCAUAAUUCGUUUUAAAACAAGUAGCAACACUAUCUAAAAUAGAAAAUAGAAGAAAUAAACAAAAAAUGCUAAAGCAUUAACGUCUGUGAAAUCCACAAAUUAAUUAAAUUAAUAUGGAAUAAGGAAGCAUUCCCAGAACAAUGGAAAGAGUCCACUAUUUAAUACUGAUUUUUAAAAAGGAGGAGAAAUUGAACUGCAAUAAUUACCAGGGCAUCUCACUCCUACCCACGUGUUAUAAAGUCCUGUCGAAUAUUUUAUUAACAAGGAUGGUACCAUAUGCAGACGAGAUAAUGGGGGAUCACAAGUGCGGUUUUAGGAAAAAUAGAUCGACUACAGACCAAAUCUUUACUAUUCGGCAGAUUUUGGAGAAAAAUGGGAAUUGAAUUAGCCAGUACACCAAUUUUAUAUUGAUUUUCAAAAAGCAUAUGAUUCAAUAAAACGAAAAAAUAUGUUUGAAAUUCAAAUGCGACAGAGGAUACCAAAAUACAUAUAAUAUAUACGUAUACAUGCUAAAUUUUCGAGAUGCCUAAAACUAAUGCAAAGAAAUGUAAUAUCUAUUAUUAUCUCAACAAAAAUGCACCUAAUUAGUGACAAUUAGUAAAGACAUCCAACAUCUUACCAACCAAAAGAAAGGCUUGAUAAUGUACAAACAUAUCCCCCGAUUGACGUGGUAUUUUAUUUACAUGAUUUCACUUUUACAUGGUUUCUAAAUAUGCCCCCGGUUCGGAUCGAGGAGUCUGAACCAGUUGCCUUCACAUCAAAAGUCAUCCAUGAAGGACAUGAAUUAGGAAAAAAAUUGGGUAAUCAUUUUGUAGAAAAUGACCCGAUUGUUGAACGAGCUUUCCUAUUUCAGAAGUAGAUUUGGUAGCAUAGGAGUAAUACAUUUAAUAGAACAAGAAGAUGACGUCAUAUGGUUGCAAACUAAAGCAAUUACAGACCCAUAUACUGCGGUCUUACCAUUUUCAAUGUUUACCAGAUAUAUCCUUCUACGUUUGCAAAAUAAUAACAAUAUCAAUGGCGUUCUAUUGGAAAAAA